GGAAUAUAGCUCACUUGGUAGAGCGCUUGCCUCACAUGCACAAGGCCCUGGGUUCGAUCCCCAGCACCA
rnacentral:tRNA from 1 species